rnacentral:lncRNA from 1 species
CGGGAGCCGGGAUUGCCACGGCUUUGAGCGCUGACGCUGCCUCUGCCUCUCCCAGAGCCGCUGUCCCCGCCACAAAUUGUGGGCAACUCCUUGGUGAAGGCAGGAGGCAACACCAAACUGGUUUGCCGCGUGGUGCACGGGACGGCAGACGCCUACUGGUGGAAGAAAAAUGGGCAACCGCUCGUGGAAAGUGAGCGCAUCCAGUUUGUGGAGAACACCACGCUCGUCAUCCUGCGGGUGUCCAUCAGCGACAGCGGCUACUACACCUGCGUGGUGAGCAACGCCGUGAGCCAGAACGAGACCUCCUUCCUGCUCAAGGUCCACCACUCUACACACGUGGUGCUGCCUGUGGUCAUGACCUGUGUCGUCAUCGGCUUGAUCGCAGGUGGGUGCUGAGGUGGCUCUGCCCGAUUUCUGGCUGGUGGGUGCUGCGGCCACCAGAGGUGGGUGAAGGGGUCCCAUGUGGCACAUCCCUGCCAGGACCUGGCUUUCCCACCCUGGCAUCCCGUGGGCAGGGGCUGGGUUUUGUCACAGCUGCUGUUUCCAGCAGAGUGUCCCCAGUCCAAGGAGGUCAUGUUGGCCUGCAUUGAUGAUGGUGGUGGUGGGGCUCUGAGCAGCCUGGGCUGGUGGAAGUUCUUCCUGCCCAUGGCACGGGUAGGAACUGGAUGGGCUUUGAAGGUUCCUCCAACACAAACGGUUCUGGGAUUUUCUGAUGCUGCUGCUUUGUCCUCAGGUGUCUUUGUCUGGUGCUGGAGAAGGGAGAAGGAACACAGUGACAACUGUUGGUAGAGCUGGGCCAGCCCUGCUGUUGCUCUUCCCUGGUGACCCUGGUGAUGGAUACUGCUGGGAGUGCCAGGUAUCCCAUCCCAUCCCAUCCCAGCCUCUCCUGGGCUCACCUGUGAAGUGUUCAAGCUGCCAGAUCCUGCAAAUGUUUUAUUGGAAAACACUGGUUUGGACUAUUUCUAUGUUGUCCUGCUCUUCCUGUUGUGCAUCCCUGGGGAGAGGGAUGUACUUGCUCCCUCCCUCCACCCUCCUGGCUUCCUGCAGAGGCCUCGAUGGGCUCUUGGCUCUGGAAAGAGCCAACUGGGCAAAUCCACAGUCCUGGGGCUGCUGGAAGGUGCCACAGUGCCAGCCCUGCCUCCCCGGGCCCUCCCGGUGCCCUGCUGUGCCAGGGCUUUGCCAGGGGGCUCAGGGGCUGAGGCUCUGGGCAUCCUGCUCCGUGUGACCCUUGGAGGGAGGAGGAAGGGCAGGACUGUGCUGGGUGUGCAGCUGGAGGGAGCAGAGGCAGCGGGAGCUGGCAGGGAAUGGGGGAGCAGCAAAGGAGUUCAGUUUCUGACAGCAGAUCCCAGGGAAAUCCCUGCAGCUGCCUGAGGUGGGGAUGCUCCUGAGCCCAUCUCUUCCAGCCCUGCAGGAUCUGGGGAUAUCCCUGGGGACAUCCCCUCCUCUUCCCAGCACCAGUGCUGGUGGAGCUUGUCCUUCCCAUUUGCUGCUCAUGCAGGUGACAUCGGCCUUGGCCUGGUGAGAUGCAGGGAGCCCUGCUCCUGUCCCCUGCUGUCCCCUGCUGUCCUGUCCCUCCCCGUGCUGCCGCUGCAGGGCUCUCCUAGGCUUGGCUGUGGAGGGGAUGUCGCUCCUUCAGCUGAGCCUGGAGGCAGAGCAGGCAUCCCCAGCCUGGAGAGACCUGGGUGCUUUCCCAGGUGCUGGACCCCACUGUUGGUCACCCCGGGACAUUUGCACCUCCUUUUAAUCUGAGGGGGCAAUCCCAGGUCCAGGGCCCUCCCUGAGCCAGUCCUCAGCACCCCUGGAGCAGGCUGGGGGCCUCUCAAAGGCAAACUGGAAAAUUAUGGGAGAGAUCACAGGGAGAUUCAGGGGCUGUUAGCAAGGGGCCAUCUCAGCCUUGGCUUUUGUGGAGCCAUUAAAGGAAGCAGAGGAGUUUGGGUGGAAUAAAUGAGAUUCCAGCCCUGUUGGAAGCUGCA